rfam:TPA: Bos taurus chromosome 2, whole genome shotgun sequence.
UCCCUGAUGAUCCAAUGGUUGGGAACCUGCCUCCAAAGCAGGGGACACGGGUUCAAUCCUUGGUCAGGGAA